rnacentral:tRNA from 1 species
CUACUCGUAGUUCAACUGGAUAGAACAACGGACUUCUAAUCCGUAGGUUGCAGGUUCGAGUCCUGCCGAGUAGGCCA